GCCACUGCUAUUGGGGUUCGGCUAAGCCAUGCGAGUGGAGGGCGUCCCGCAAGGGAUGGCCACGCAGACGGCUCAGUAACACGUCGUCAACCCACCUUAGGGUGGGGGACAACCUCGGGAAACUGAGGAUAAUCCCCCAUAGGCGGGGGAGGCUGGAGUGCGCCCCCGCUGAAAGCUCAGGCGCCCUAGGACGGGACGGCGGCCUAUCAGGUAGUCCGGUGGUGUGACG
rnacentral:rRNA from 1 species